rnacentral:rRNA from 1 species
GACGAACGUUGGCGGCGUGCUUAAUACAUGCAAGUCCACUGAAGCAGUGGUAGCAAUCUCGCUGUGGAGGUGGCGCACGGGUGAGUAACACGUAGGUAAUCUGCCUUCAGGUCUGGCAUAACUCCGGGAAACCGGGGCUAAUAGCAGAUGAUGCAGCGGCUCGACAUCGAGACAGUUGUUAAAGCUAUGGCGCCUGAAGAUGAGCCUGCGUCUGAUUAGCUAGUUGGCGGGGUAACGGCCCACCAAGGCAACGAUCAGUAGCUGGUCUGAGAGGAUGAUCAGCCACACCGGAACUGAGACACGGUCCAGACUCCUACGGGAGGCAGCAGUAAGGAAUAUUGCUCAAUGGGAGAAAUCCUGAAGCAGCAACGCCGCGUGAGGGACGAAGGGCUUUUGCUUGUAAACCUCUGUAGUGAGAGAAAAAAAUCCCAAUCUUUGGGACAUGAUGGUAUCUCAAAAGUAAGCCCCGGCUAACUACGUG